rfam:Echinostoma caproni strain Egypt genome assembly, scaffold: ECPE_scaffold0012219
GCAUGGCUGACGAGUCCCAAACAGGACGAAACAGCUGUCCAGUGC